AUGACGAUCGAUUUGUCCACCAUGCCCGGGAGCUCCUCCUCCCGUCUCCUGGACGCCGCCGCGGGGAGGAAGGACAUGAACUUCUUCAGAAACCGCUACGUGCUUGGGCUCACCGGCGUCGCCGGAAUCGGCGGCUUCCUCUUUGGAUACGACACAGGUGUCAUAUCUGGAGCCCUUCUGUAUAUUCGGGACGAAUUUCCAGCUGUCAAAGACAAUCUAUUCUUGCAGGAGACAAUUGUUAGCAUGGCAUUACUUGGCGCCAUUCUUGGAGCAGCUGGGGGUGGCUGGAUAAAUGAUGCCUACGGUCGUAAGAAGUCCACUCUUCUUGCUGACCUGAUGUUCGCACUUGGUUCACUGGUUAUGUGCGCUGCUGGCGGUCCUUAUGUUCUGAUUCUUGGAAGGCUCUUUGUUGGAUUGGGUGUGGGAAUAGCAUCAGUCACUGCCCCCGUUUACAUCGCUGAAGCUGCUCCUUCAGAAAUCAGGGGAGGUUUGGUGUCAACUAAUGUCCUCAUGAUUACUGGCGGCCAAUUCUUCUCCUACUUGGUCAAUCUUGGCUUUACUGAGGUUCCUGGAACAUGGCGGUGGAUGCUCGGAGUUGCUGCCGUGCCAGCAAUCAUACAGUUUGUGCUGAUGCUUUUUCUGCCAGAAUCUCCCCGCUGGCUUUACCGGAAGGAUGAGAAAGCCAAAGCUAUUGCUGUGCUGGAGCAGAUAUAUGACUCUGGUCGUCUGGAGGAAGAGGUCGAGCUGCUUGCGUCGGCUUCCAUGCAUGAAUUCCAGUCUAACUGUACUGGGAGCUAUUUGGACAUAUUCAGGUUGAAGGAAUUAAGGCUAGCUUUUUUUGCUGGAGCUGGCCUUCAGGCCUUCCAGCAAUUUACUGGCAUCAACACCGUCAUGUACUACAGCCCCACGAUCGUCCAGAUGGCUGGGUUCACUUCCAACAGGCUGGCCCUGCUGCUUUCCCUCAUCGUCGCCGCCAUGAACGCCAGCGGAACCAUCGUCGGGAUCUACCUCAUCGACCGUUGUGGCCGCCGCCGCCUGGCCCUCACAAGCCUAGCCGGCGUCGUGCUUUCCCUCGUCAUCCUCGCCACGGCCUUCAUACUGCAGUCGUCGUCCAGCCUCUGCGGGAGCCUGUUCAGCGGUUCCUGCCAAGGCGUGCUGGGGUGGUUCGCGGUCGGAGGGCUCGCUCUGUACAUCGCCUUCUUCUCUCCGGGCAUGGGGCCGGUGCCAUGGGCCGUGAACUCAGAGAUCUACCCCGAGGCCUACCGCGGCAUGUGCGGCGGCAUGUCGGCCACCGUCAACUGGAUCUCCAACCUGAUCGUGGCACAGACGUUCCUGUCGAUCGUGGGGUGGGUCGGCACCGGCCCCACGUUCCUGAUCAUCGCCGGGAUCGCCGUGAUGGCCUUCAUCUUCGUGGCCCUGUACGUGCCGGAGACCAAGGGCCUGAGCUUCGAGGAGGUCGAUCUGCUGUGGAAGGAGAGGGCCUGGGGAGGCCAGGGCAGCCACGAGAGCCUCCUGGGUUCUGCGCCGUAA
rnacentral:rRNA from 1 species